rnacentral:rRNA from 1 species
UGGGGAAUAUUGGACAAUGGGCGAAAGCCUGAUCCAGCCAUGCCGCGUGUGUGAAGAAGGUCUUCGGAUUGUAAAGCACUUUAAGUUGGGAGGAAGGGUUGUAGAUUAAUACUCUGCAAUUUUGACGUUACCGACAGAAUAAGCACCGGCUAACUCUGUGCCAGCAGCCGCGGUAAUACAGAGGGUGCAAGCGUUAAUGGGAAUUACUGGGCGUAAAGCGCGCGUAGGUGGUUAGUUAAGUUGGAUGUGAAAUCCCCGGGCUCAACCUGGGAACUGCAUUCAAAACUGACUGACUAGAGUAUGGUAGAGGGUGGUGGAAUUUCCUGUGUAGCGGUGAAAUGCGUAGAUAUAGGAAGGAACACCAGUGGCGAAGGCGACCACCUGGACUGAUACUGACACUGAGGUGCGAAAGCGUGGGGAGCAAACA